GAGGCGUGCGCGGCCGUCCCCGCCAACUUCGCGGUGCAGUCGGCCCUCCCGCUCCUUACCCGCGCAGUCCCGAGGCUGGCCGCGGCCUCACCUGCACUGCCGCUUCCGACCGGGAGGCGGUGGGCCGGCUCCUCCGUCCCGGGCCCGACUUCCGGGCCCUCCCCAUUCGCCUGGAGCGCGUCCCUUCGUGGGGAGGGGUGGCCCAGACGUGGGGUUUCACCGUGUUAGCCAGGAUGGUCUCGAUCUCCUGACCUCAGGAUCUGCCAACCUUGGGAUCCACCUGCCUCGGCCUCCCAAAGUGCUGGGAUUACAGGCGUGAGCCACCGCACCUGGCCAAGUUCUUAUUUCUCUAGGCUCUUGCAAUACAAUAUGUACUUCCUAUAGACACGUGUUCUCGGACAAGAAAUGAAGCUAUGGAAAAACCUGUCGGAGAGGGCUGGAGAACAGAUGGACACCCCCACCCGAGGUCAGAAAGGCAAGCUACACAGCCCUCCCCACACUUAUGUGGGGACCAAGAGUAGGGCCCUGCCCCUCUGGGCCUCUUGGGCUGGAAGAGUGCAGGCAGAAGGACUGAUGUCCAUUUUGACACUGCUUUUAAGCUCAGUAAAAAUCGAUUUAAAAUUGGUUUCAAUGUAUUUUUAAAGCACAAUGAACUUUUUUUUCCCCUCAGCAGAAAGCCAUGAUAGCAGGGUAGGCAAGCUACUCAACCUUUCUGACCUCACUUUUCACAACAGGAAAAUGGGGAUACUUACACAUCCCCCAUUCCCCAUUUCCCAGGGCGUGAGGGUGAAUGAGAUCAGUAUGUCCAGUGCCUACCACAGUAAGAACUGCAACACGGUGGGUCUAAUACGUGGUUUUUUUGGUGGCUGUUAAGCCUCUGAGAGGCCCACAGUAGAGCCACCCCACUGUGAACACUCUGUUUGAAUUUGAAUGCUUUUCUUAAACAUUUAAAUUAAACAAAAAUCAAGGCACACAUCCUCUGAAACCCCUUUGGGCCAGGUACCCUGCUGGGUGUCAGCCCCUUCAAGUGUCACAGAAGCCAUGGCUCAGCACCCCCCAGCCAGAGGAGCUGCCCAGGCUCUGAGAAGAACAGGGCAGUUGGGAUGGGGCCACCACAGCUCUCUCUAGUUGAAGAAUUAGCUGGAAAAUGAAGAGUAAGGCACUGCCCACUCUGGUCCAUGGCUUUGCAUGUCAAAAUGCAUCCCCAGAAAGCAGACCUGCAGCAGACCAACCCUUCCCAAAGACGGGGUUCAGGGUGCUCCAGACAGACAGCAGACCCUGGGCUUGGCAACAUCUCCCAAAAAGGAGCUAAGUCUCAGGCAAGCGGUCCCCGAAGGCCUCCAUACACCAGGGGCAACACAACAUACCUUCACUGGUGCAAAGGCCCUGCCAAAUGGCUGUGCAAAGGUGGCCAGGCAAGAGAGACAGUUAUAAGAAGAAAUCAAGGAGCCAUGGCACGCAGAACUCCCAGGAGAGGCAGGUGGUGCACAGCCAGUUCAUGCCCCAGGCUACUGGGUGGGUGGCUUCCUGAAGACAAGCUUCAGCCAGAAGACGGUGUUUGGGACUUCAGGUGACAAGACUGGAGGAGACAAGGGAACCUAAGCAGAAGGUCAUCCAGACCACUGUCAGAGCAGCCACACGAAGUAUUUGGGUUCUUGCUCUAAGUCUUCUGCCAGCCAGACGAAGGGAUGGAGGAUUCACAUCCAGCCACAUCUUGACGCUGCUGAUCCUGGAAGAGAAUGGACAGAGCCCUGCACUGGCUCCACCUGCUCCCUAUUCUUCCAUAGGAGGAAACAAGAAAGGAGGCCGGUCAGCCCAAGACAAAGCUCAGGAAUGUUCUCAAAAGGUUCUUGGGCUUUGGGACCGUCACAAUGCAUUCACAAGAUUAUCCUAAGCUUCUGAAAGCCCCCUGGCUCCAGAGAAGAGAGGAAUCUCCGGCUGCUAAACCUUGAGUGCAGAGACUAAGGGCACACUGGGGCCAGAAUGCCUGGGUUCAAAUCCUAGCUCUGCUAUGUAUUAGCUCUGUAACGUUCGGCAAAGUACUUAACCCCUGUUUCCUCCUCUGUAAAAUGAGGAUAACUAUGGCCCUAUAGGGCAGAGUUGUUGCUUAGAACAGUAGAAAACUCAAAAUUAAUUUAGCAAGGGGCCCUCCUCUGCCCAGUGGGAUGUGCUACUAUUGACCCCAUGGGGUUCUGGAAGAAAUCAACAUGCUACUACAAUGGAAGGCAUUUGAAGGAAGUGGAAAGUUUUCACAGAAAGUAGUCCAGAGACAUGCACAGAGUGCUGCUCUCAGCACAGACCAGAAACCCCAAAGAUUUGUGCCUCUGUCAGAAUGCAGCUUUCUGGAGUUUACCAGGCUAUAGAAGCUGCAUGGAGUCUGGAAUGGGAAUGAGUUGACUUAGUCUUCCCCUGGAGGUGUGGAGAGGAAAUGUUACACUUUCAGGCUUUGUGCAGGACAAGCAGAGAGUAUCACUCAAAUCCAAGCUGGCUGCCCUGUGGGUGACACAGGCCCAUGCCAGCAGGCCUGGGUAGAGCCACCGUUUGCUGAGGUUAGGCCAGCACCAGGGGGUGUGAGGAGCCCACCUCCAGUCUCAGAGCAGGGUUGGGCUUCCCUGGAUGGGGAGGAAAGGGUUAAGCCGGCUUGGGCUCUGAAGGGAAAGCACUCUGCAGCUAUAAACAGAGAGCCCAGGGAGGGAGGGGCCGACAGGAUGUGGCCAGGGCUCGAGCUGUCUGAUUAUUAACUUCACUUUUAUUUGGAGGGGGAUUCGAUUCUCUGUUUUACUUCCCAUCAAGGAAGUGAAAGCCCAGGUCUCAGAGGGGCCUGGUUUCAAAUUGUUUUGUCACAGCUCAUUUAUUUUUCCUUUUAAAUAAAUAAACAAAAC
ensembl:lncRNA